rnacentral:lncRNA from 1 species
CCUGAUAUCAAGCGAAAAAGAAUUAGUGAAGACAUAGAUUUUAACAGAGAUUAGGAAAUCAAAACUUAAAGCUUGGGGAGGGAAAAGUGAUGUAGUCUAGAAUCUUAAAUGCUUCAUACUCGCGUUCGUGCUACAGAUACACAAAAACUACAACACUCUCCCAAAACAAAUACACACGUAAGCCAAAAAUUACCUGUUUUAUCCCAAGGCUGUAUGAAAAAGUAUGUAAACCUCUGCCUGCC